UACGUAGGGUGCGAGCGUUGUCCGGAAUUAUUGGGCGUAAAGAGCUCGUAGGCGGUGUGUCGCGUCGGCCGUGAAAACCUGGGGCUCAACUCUGGGCGUGCGGUCGAUACGGGCAUCACUUGAGUUCGGCAGGGGAGACUGGAAUUCUCGGUGUAGCGGUGAAAUGCGUAGAUAUCGAGAGGAACACCUGCGGCGAAGGCGGGUUGCUGGGCUGACACUGACGCUGAGGCGCGAAAGCUAGGGGAGCGAACGGG
rnacentral:rRNA from 1 species